CCUGCUCGCUUGAAAGGCCCAAUGGGAAGCUGAAGAAUUGGGAACCUAAACACGCUAAGCCAAUGAGACGUUUGUUUAUUGGUCCGCUACUUCCAAUCCGUCUUCAAGCUGCUCAGUUGCUACUCAGAAAACCAACUUCCCGCCGCCUUUGGGGUGGCUACACGCAGGCGCACCACGCCUCCUGCGCGCUUCUAGGAAGUUUAGAGGGGUCGGGGCUUCCGUGUAGACCCCGAGACACACAUCCGGGACUUUGGCCUGUUGUGCAGGACAUCGCGGUGACUGAGCUCUUUCCUCUGCAGGGUCGACCCUGAGGAGGAUCCGUUCAACACAAGAGUAUACUCGCGAUUCCUGUCACCAAGUAUGCACUUACCGCUGCCCCCAGCAACUCCAGGCCAAGAGCUGUGCCUCUUUCACUACAAACCCUUGGAGAGGGUAUCCUUUUUCGAGGUGGCUCACCUCUGUCCUGCCUUAGGCACCUGGUUCCAAGUAUGAAGACAAGGACUUUAUCUCAGUAUCUGGCACCUAGCAAAAUCUUAGAAAAUACUGAUUUAAGCUGAACUCUGAUCUGUAUUCCACCCUCUGCACAAAGCAACCCCAACCUGCUCGUCCUUAUUCAUUCCUCAUCUUGCUUAAUGGAGUCCAAUCCAUUUGGGAUCUCUGGAGAAACUAGAUCCAUCUGUUCUUUCUCUUACAUCAGACUCACAGGCCCACACACACCUGCUCCAUCACAAGUUUAGUCUAUUCUACCAUUUAAUCUCCCAUCUUUUGUCUAAAUUUGUCAAAUGCCAUUGUGUACUUCAGUUUUGCAUCAUUUCUCCAUACUAUAGCGAGAGCUGUCUAACCAGUGACCCCUGCCUCCAUUCUUGGCCUGUGCAACUGCCUACGAACAAGUUAUCUUUUCAGCUUCUGCUGUAUCAGCAAGCCCAAGGUCCCUUGGCAUAAGAGGCCUGUCACCAUCUAUUUUGCUCCCCUGGUUUCCAUCUUUUUUUCCCUCUGUCUUGGAGAAUUCCUCAAAUUUAUCUUCCUGACAACUACAGAGGUUUUACUUCUUUUGAGUUCUAUUUUGUUCUUCAAAUGCCCCUUUCGUGUGGUGUCAUAUUCUUGCUUCAUAUAUUUUAUUUUAUCCUUCUGAGGAUUUUAAUAGAUUUUGACGUUUUCUUCUCCCUGAGUAGUCUUAUUCCUUUCAGCUGCUUUUUGCUAUUAUAUUGGUCUCAUCUAUCCUAUUAGAAGCAUCUGUAGUCCUUGACUAUUCACUCACACUUAAGAGUAAGGCCUGGAGUCAAGUGCCUUGAAAGCUAAUUGGAAGCUCUAACCUUGUAGAUGGGACUUGUUUCCUGAGAGCUUAGCUGUAGGAUGACCUGGCUGAGCUGUUGGUUGGAAACACAUGGCAUCAGUAUUUGUACGUAAUUCUUUCUGCUGAUCAAAUUCCCUAAAGAGAAAAUGCUUCCAGGCACAGCUUCAUGUAUUCUGGGAGUCCAGUACAGAAGCACAGGCUGCAGUAUUCCAUUUGCUUUAUUCAGUACUCCUGGCACAGUCCAAGUCUUAUUUUAGAUUUCCUAAGAAGCAGGCACUGAGACAAGGUUUUGAGUGCAGAAAGCCUGUGAGGGAGGUGAUCCUGGGAAACACUGGUAGCAGAGCAGGAAAGUGAGUCAAGGAAGGGAAGAAAGCCAAAGGGUUUAUUAUCAAGGAAAUUAGCACUGUGGUUAACUGGAGUUUACUGUCACUGGAGAACUCUGGAGGCCAGUAUGAAACAUAUACCUCAGAGUUAUACCACUCAAGGGGUGAGGGAGAUGGGGAUUUAUAUACCAACUUCCUUCAUUGGUUGAGGGUAGCUCCUGGGGUCUGCACUCUAGCCUGCUACAUGGGCAGCAAGAUGGACUCUGGUGGCCAGAAGAAGGGCGAAGAAAUGCAGAUACUAGCAGCUAGACCUCCAGCCAGUGUAGUGGAUGGAUUGGUAAGGCUGAAAGCAAAGAACUCUUUAGAUAGUGGAGUCUCAUGGAAAAAGCACAGACCCUUGAGUGUACUGCUUGGAGGAGAGCUACCCUGGAGCAGUUGCUCCAGAUUCUGCUUGAGCAAAAAAUAAACUUUUGCUGCAUAAAGUA